UACAGAGGGGGGCAAGCGUUAUUCGGAAUUAUUGGGCGUAAAGGGCGCGUAGGCGGCCUGGCAAGUGGAAGGUGAAAUCCCUCGGCUUACCGAGGAACUGCCCCUCCAAACUGCUUGGCUUGAGACCGGGAGAGGUGAGUGGAAUUCCCAGUGUAGCGGUGAAAUGCGUAGAUAUUGGGGAGGAACACCAGUGGCGAAGGCGGCUCACUGGACCGGUACUGACGCUGAGGCGCGAAAGCGUGGGGAGCAAACGGG
rnacentral:rRNA from 1 species